rnacentral:rRNA from 1 species
UACGGAGGGUGCGAGCGUUGUCCGGAAUCACUGGGCGUAAAGGGCGCGUAGGCGGCCUGCUAAGUCGAACGUGAAAUCCCUGGGCUCAACCCAGGAACUGCGUCCGAUACUGGUUGGCUUGAAUCCGGGAGAGGGAUGUGGAAUUCCAGGUGUAGCGGUGAAAUGCGUGAGAUAUCUGGAGGAACACCGGUGGCCGAAGGCGGCAUCCUGGACCGGCAUUGACGGCUGAGGCGGCGAAAGCUAGGGGAGCAAACGGG